UACGUAGGGGGCUAGCGUUGUCCGGAAUCAUUGGGCGUAAAGCGCGUGUAGGCGGUUCGGUAAGUCCGCUGUGAAAGUCGGGGGCUCAACCCUCGGAUGCCGGUGGAUACUGUCGGACUAGAGUACGGAAGAGGCGAGUGGAAUUCCUGGUGUAGCGGUGAAAUGCGCAGAUAUCAGGAGGAACACCGAUUGCGAAGGCAGCUCGCUGGGACGUUACUGACGCUGAGACGCGAAAGCGUGGGGAGCAAACAGG
rnacentral:rRNA from 2 species